rnacentral:rRNA from 1 species
UACGUAGGGGGCAAGCGUUGUCCGGAAUCAUUGGGCGUAAAGCGCGCGUAGGCGGCCCGGUAAGUCCGCUGUGAAAGUCCAGGGCUCAACCCUGGAAAGCCGGUGGAUACUGCCGGGCUAGAGUCCGGAAGAGGCGAGUGGAAUUCCCGGUGUAGCGGUGGAAUGCGCAGAUAUCAGGAGGAACACCAAUAGCGAAGGCAGCUCGCUGGGACGGUACUGACGCUGAGGUGCGAAAGCGUGGGGAGCGAACAGG